rnacentral:rRNA from 1 species
GACGAACGCUGGCGGCGUGCUUAACACAUGCAAGUCGAACGGAAAGGCCCUGCUUUUGUGGGGUGCUCGAGUGGCGAACGGGUGAGUAACACGUGAGUAACCUGCCCUUGACUUUGGGAUAACUUCAGGAAACUGGGGCUAAUACCGGAUAGGAGCUCCUGCUGCAUGGGGGGGGUUGGAAAGUUUCGGCGGUUGGGGAUGGACUCGCGGCUUAUCAGCUUGUUGGUGGGGUAGUGGCUUACCAAGGCUUUGACGGGUAGCCGGCCUGGGAGGGUGACCGGCCACAUUGGGACUGAGAUACGGCACAGACUGCUACGGGAGGCAGCAGUGGGGAAUAUUGCACAAUGGGCGGAAGCCUGAUGCAGCAACGCCGCGUGCGGGAUGAUGGCCUUCGGGUUGUAAACCGCUUUCGCCUGUGACGAAGCGUGAGUGACGGUAAUGGGUAAAGAAGCACCGGCUAACUACGUG